rnacentral:rRNA from 1 species
GGAACUCAAAGGAGACUGCCAGUGAUAAACUGGAGGAAGGUGGGGAUGACGUCAAGUCAUCAUGGCCCUUACGGCCAGGGCUACACACGUGCUACAAUGGCAUAUACAAAGAGAAGCGACCUCGCGAGAGCAAGCGGACCUCAUAAAGUAUGUCGUAGUCCGGAUUGGAGUCUGCAACUCGACUCCAUGAAGUCGGAAUCGCUAGUAAUCGUAGAUCAGAAUGCUACGGUGAAUACGUUCCCGGGCCUUGUACACACCGCCCGUCACACCAUGGGAGUGGGUUGCAAAAGAAGUAGGUAGCUUAACCUUCGGGAGGGCGCUUACCACUUUGUGAU